rnacentral:lncRNA from 1 species
GACUUCACCGACUCCAGCAUCAGUUGCAUCUGAAACCAAGUAAAAAAAAUGAUGAAAAGAGCAGUAGUGAGACUUUACGAGGUAGCAUUGUGCAGGUGAAUGAAUGUGCCCAGAAAUACAAAUAUACACUAGGUCUAAAAUCCUGGAACAGAAAACAAACUAGUAAUCGUGCAACAGAUAGUGGACUGAAGAUAGUGUAUGUCAAAGUUGAAAUCAGACAAACUUUCAUCUAGUUCUUCCACUCAAGGUAGCUAGUUGGAC